rnacentral:lncRNA from 1 species
AUCGUUUCAAGCUUUGAAAUUUCUUAAUACAAAACGUAGAUUUCGAAUUGUUUUGUGAUUGCAUUUUUCCAUGUCGAAAUGGGUGAUUGCAGACACGUGGUAUUAGUCAUGUCACAAGUGUCAGCUUGGGAUAUUCGCAUCCAAACAGUUAUCACCUUGAGGGCAAUUAACACCUAACUAUUUAAUCUCUUAAUUGCCUAUAUUGUCCGACUUAAAGGGAUUACAAUUAAAGGUGAUAUAAUUUUUAUGAUCAUAAUCGAUAAUAGAUGAAAGUUCGAAAUUGAGGACAGGUAAAAUAGCAUCUUCAAAAUAAUUAUAGCGUCGCGGG